UUAAUUAAUUUAAUAAUUGUCUCAGACUGCAUACUUCAGACAGCGUUCACAGGUGGCUUCGGCGGGCGCGGGCCCGGGGGCAGAUACCCCCCGGCGGCCGUGAGGCGGGCCCGCCGAAGCAACAAGGUUCGUUAAACACGGGUGGGAGGUUGGACCCCGAGGGGCCCUCACUCAGUAAUGAUCCUUCCGCAGGUUCACCUACGGAAA
rnacentral:misc_RNA from 1 species